AGACUGUCAUUUCGGUGGCAGUGGAGCGAUCUUGUAAUACUACCCAUUUUUCUUAAGAUUGCUUACUCUUUUAGAGAACAGCAGCAGGCGGGCAGUUUGACUGGGGCGGUGCCCUGUCGAAAAGAUAUCGAUAGGACCCAAAGACAAGCUCAUCCAGCUUGGAAAUCUGGAGUUGAGUGCGAGGGCAAAAGCUUGUCUGACUGCAUUUUGAAAAGCAAGAAAUACAGAGAGGAAACUCGGGCCUAGUGAACCCACAUGCUCAUUUAAUAGGAGCUGUGUCUGAUAGAAAAGUUACCCCAAGGAUAACAGGCUUGUCGCCCCCGAUAGUCCGUAUUGACGGGGCGGUUUGGUACAUCGCUGUCGGCUCUUCCUAUCCUGCGCGUGCAGAAGCGUGCAAGGGUGCCGGAGUUCACGUAUUAAAAGGGAUCGUUAGCUGGGUUAAGAACGUUGUGAAACAGUUUGUAUGAUAUCUACUAGGUGUGCUAUUGUCUGAGUGGAACAACCUUCUAGUACGAGAGGAACGAGGGUUGGGUGCCUCUGGUGAGCAGUUGUCAUUUGGCAGGCUGCAUAGCUACGCACUAGAUGGAUAAGAGCUGAAUGCAUCUAAGCUCGAAGCCAUUCGCAAAACGAGACAAUUAAGGCCGUCGAAAAAGACGACGUUGAUAGAGUUCUUGUGUAAGAUUCAAGCUUCGGCGAGAAUUUCAGCAUAGAACUACUAAAAGCUUCAAAUUUUAUGUAU
rnacentral:rRNA from 1 species